GCCGAGGUGGCGGAAUUGGUAGACGCGCUGGCUUCAGGUGCCAGUGGGGGCAACUCCGUGGAGGUUCGAGUCCUCUUCUCGGCACCA
rnacentral:tRNA from 1 species